rnacentral:rRNA from 1 species
GGAAUUUUCCGCAAUGGGCGAAAGCCUGACCAAGCAACGCCGCGUGGGUGAUGAAGUCUCUUGGGACGUAAAACCCUUUCGACGGGGACGAAACCGCAAGGUUGACGGUACCCGUAGCAGAAGCCCCGGCUAACUCCGUUCCAGCAGCCGCGGUAAUACGGGGGGGGCAAGCGUUGUUCGGAAUUACUGGGCGUAAAGGGCGCGUAGGCGGCGCUCUAAGUCGGAUGUGAAAACUCUGGGCUCAACCCAGAGCCUGCAUCCGAAACUGGAGGGCUAGAGUUCUGGAGGGGAAAGCGGAAUUCCUGGUGUAGCGGUGAAAUGCGUAGAUAUCAGGAGGAACACCGGUGGCGAAGGCGGCUUUCUGGACAGAAACUGACGCUGAGGCGCGAAAGCUAGGGGAGCAAAC